rnacentral:tRNA from 1 species
GUCCGUUGCUCGGUGGCCGAGAGCGUCUGACCGGUGUAUGGAAAGUCAUGGGUUCGAUUCCCGUCGGGACUCA